UACGUAGGGUGCGAGCGUUAAUCGGAAUUACUGGGCGUAAAGCGUGCGCAGGCGGCUUUGCAAGACAGAUGUGAAAUCCCCGGGCUCAACCUGGGAACUGCAUCUGUGACUGCAUCGCUGGAGUGCGGCAGAGGGGGAUGGAAUUCCGCGUGUAGCAGUGAAAUGCGUAGAUAUGCGGAGGAACACCGAUGGCGAAGGCAAUCCCCUGGGCCUGCACUGACGCUCAUGCACGAAAGCGUGGGGAGCAAACAGG
rnacentral:rRNA from 1 species